GGAUCAUUUUGAUGAAUUUCGGGCAGAUUUGGUGGGAAAUAGGGGGAAAUCUUGCUGUUCUUGACUUUGGGCAAGCACAGGCCAAACAUGCAGUUCAACAUUUGUUCAUGCCUCG
rnacentral:pre_miRNA from 1 species